GGGAUUAGCUAGUAUGCGGGGUAAUGGGCCCCCUCUGCGACAAUCUCUAUCUGUUCUCAGAGGAUGACCCCCCCCACUGGAACUGAGACACGGUCCCCACUCCUACAGGAGGCGCCACUGGGGAAUAUUGCGCAAUGGGCGCAAGCCUGAUACGCCCAUGCCCCGUGUGUGAAAAAAGCCUCCUCGUGGUAAAGUACUUUCACCGGGGAGGAAAGCGACAGGGGGAAUAACCCCGUCUCUUGACGUUUCCCCCACAAAAAACACCGGCGAACUCCCCGCCAGCGCCCGCGGGAUUACAGAGGGUGCGCGCGUUAAUCUCAAUUACUGUGGGUGUAGCGCACGCACGGGGUCUGUGAAGUCACAUAUGAAAUCUCCGGGCUCUACCUGUGAACUGCGUUUGAGAAUGUCACGCGUGAGUCUCGUGUAGAGGGGUAUAAUUCUCCGUGUAGCGCUGAGAUGCGUAUAGAUCUGGAGGAAUACACGUGUCGAAAGCGCCCCCCUGUACACAGACAGACACUCUCGUGCGAA
rnacentral:rRNA from 1 species